rnacentral:rRNA from 1 species
CCUGGCUCAGGACGAACGCUGGCGGCGUGCCUAAUACAUGCAAGUCGAGCGGACCGACGGGAGCUUGCUCCCUUAGGUCAGCGGCGGACGGGUGAGUAACACGUGGGUAACCUGCCUGUAAGACUGGGAUAACUCCGGGAAACCGGGGCUAAUACCGGAUGCUUGAUUGAACCGCAUGGUUCAAUCAUAAAAGGUGGCUUUUAGCUACCACUUACAGAUGGACCCGCGGCGCAUUAGCUAGUUGGUGAGGUAACGGCUCACCAAGGCGACGAUGCGUAGCCGACCUGAGAGGGUGAUCGGCCACACUGGGACUGAGACACGGCCCAGACUCCUACGGGAGGCAGCAGUAGGGAAUCUUCCGCAAUGGACGAAAGUCUGACGGAGCAACGCCGCGUGAGUGAUGAAGGUUUUCGGAUCGUAAAACUCUGUUGUUAGGGAAGAACAAGUACCGUUCGAAUAGGGCGGCACCUG